rnacentral:rRNA from 1 species
UACGUAGGGUGCAAGCGUUGCCCGGAUUUAUUGGGCGUAAAGGGCGCGUAGGCGGCUCGGCACGUCCGUUGUGAAAUCGCCCGGCUCAACUGGGCGGGGUCAGCGGAUACGGCCGAGCUUGAGCAAGCUAGGGGGCAAUGGAAUUCCCGGUGUAGUGGUGGAAUGCGUAGAUAUCGGGAGGAACACCAGUGGCGAAGGCGGUUGCCUGGGGGUUUGCUGACGCUGAUGCGCGAAAGCGUGGGGAGCGAUCCGG